GUGAGACAAGAGGAUGUAUUCUAGUCGAGGCAAGGCUUCUGCAGCAGUCAGCAAAGCAGCAGAGUGGUUUAGCACUAGCCAAACGGAUGAUAGUGCUAUAUCUACCUACGUAGACAAAGUCACACCUGGAAAGAGGCAGAAAUAGAAUAACCCCUGGGCAUUAUUUAUUUUAGAAUAGGAAGAAAGAAAUUGAGGAAGACUGGGCCUUACCUGAUAUGCCUGGCAAUUAAUGAGCAGAGAGCAGUGCUGGUUACCAUAUUAGCUGAGAGAUAAAAUGUGUAAGGGAAUGAAAGGAGGCAAAUCUACUCCCAACAAUGGUCACCAAUCAGAUUUCCCAGAGUCCAAGCUCUCUGGACAUUCAAGGAGAAUUUUCUAAAGCUUUCCCUAAGUUGCUAAACCAUUGUCCCCCAAUAACAAAUAAUUUAUAUCAACCUAGAGAAUAAUUGGGCCUUGUAUCAAGACACGGUGAGGCAGAGCACUUGUAAAUGAUGAAUGAGCAGCAGGGCCAGUCACGCUGAUAUAAACUCAAACCAUGGUGGCCACCGUCCAUUAGGAAGUUCCAAGUGGAAUCCAUCCAUAAUGGGAUUUUAUACUCAUAGUUGUGCCCAACCUUGCCACGGCAGAAUCCCCAUUUGUGUGCCCAGAAGUGCAAUCAAAGAGUCAUUUCUGCACUAUGAUUCUGUCUUGAUUUUCUUAGCUAUGCGUGACCUUGAGCCUGGGCACUUCCCUUCUUCAUAUCAGGACAUUAAAGGGAAACAAGAAAACAUAUUUUCUUUUUUCAUAUUAGGAUCUCACAAUUUUUACUGCUUCCUUUUUAACUUUUUAAUACAAUACAUUCAUGUAAUGCCAAAAUUAAGAUAAUGUUUGGGAAAAACCCAAAUACCCAAUUUACCAAAUCACUCUAAAAGCUGGCUGAUCAAUAUGUCCCCCUUUUGUUUCUGCAAAAUUAGAUUCAUGAUGUAUAUGUGAUCUGUUCAUCUGCUGCUUUCAUUUAUGAUUAUGGCAG
rnacentral:lncRNA from 1 species